GCCACUGGUUUGUAAAAACGAGAAUUACUCAUUAAAAGUGUGUCUUGCACAUUCAUCUGAGAAGAAGGAUCUUAAAAUCUACAAACCUUAAUUAACAGUUAUUUUUACAAUCUGAAAUUAUAGCCUCGCAAUAUUUCUCCCCGGUUGAGUUGUGUACAUUGACACACUGUAAUCACCAGCGCGCAGAUCCCGGGCACGAUGGGGUUAGCCCGAGUGACGCACACAGAGGUUUUAACACCGACGGGACUCUUUCUCCCCUUUUCAAUUUCAACUGGAAAGGGAAAGGAAAAGGGUCUUGCAGCUUGAUAACCUCAUCAGAACAGGAGUUGGGCACAGGGGUUAAUAACUAAAAACCCUCCCCGGCAGAGAGACACGAAGCCAGCAGGUAAUAUUAGAACCGCAGCUGCGGAGGUACUACAACACAGUGAAACCGCGCAGCACGGAUUCAUCAGGUCUUUUGGAUAGUUGAAGGAACGCACAAAGGUGAAAGAGGAAGAUGCUGUGGUGUCUGGUUGCUGUGCAGCUGUUCUUGGCACCAGCUCUCCUGCUGCCUAGUGGGGACUACUGGGAGGAAUGGAGUCCCUAUGGAGAAUGUAGCAGGAGCUGUGGCAGUGGGGUUACCAUGAGAACCAGGAGAUGUGUUACC